rnacentral:rRNA from 1 species
UACAGGGGGUGCAAACGUUGCUCGGAAUCAUUGGGCGUAAAGCGCACGUAGGCGGUCUGUUAUGUCGGAUGUGAAAGCCCUUGGCUUAACUGAGGAAGUGCAUCCGAAACUGGCAGGCUAGAGUACUAAAGAGGGUCGCGGAAUUCCCGGUGUAGAGGUGAAAUUCGUAGAUAUCGGGAGGAACACCGGUGGCGAAGGCGGCGACCUGGGUAGAUACUGACGCUGAGGUGGCGAAAGCGUGGGAGCAACAGG